rnacentral:ncRNA from 2 species
AAAUAAUUUGUCGAUUUAACUCGUAUAAUAUUGGGGAUAUGGCCCAAAAGUUUCUACCGAGCCACCGUAAAUGGCUUGACUACGAGGCAGUGAUAAUCGGAG